rnacentral:sRNA from 1 species
GUCAGGCAUGGUAGCACACGCCUGUAAUCCCAGUGGCUCAGGAGGCUGAGGCAGAAGGAUCAAAUCUGAGGCCAGCCUCAGCAACUGAGUGAGAUUCUGUCUCAA